ACUGGGAGAGUCUGUCUUUUAUCUCAAACAAAACUACAUGGAGAAAAGGUACUAAAGAAAGACAAAUGCAUUAGAUAAAUAUUUUACCGUAUAGUUGUCAGUAAACCAACUUAGAAUUAUCCUGCAGGGAUUACAUAAAUAAAUAAAUACAUAAAUAAACAAACAAAAUAAACACCUUUAUGAACACUCCGACUGAGUGGAAUAUGUCUAUAUUCUUAUAACUGCUUCAGUUCUAAAAGCCGGAGACACAGGAAUCAUUAAGAGGGGUUGAGUCAAGAUGGCGGCCUGGAAGUAGCUCCUGCGCGCUGCUCUCACAGGGAGGAGACAAAGGGCUGGUGAACACUGACCCUACAAGCUGAUAUCUAAGAAACCGUGUCGGACUCGAUCAAGGCAGCAAGCCGACACAGAGAACAGAGAGGAGUGCAGCUGGGCAGCAGCCUGUCUGGGAUAAACGCGGAGCCAGGAGAAGCUCCCCAACACAGGAAAGGAAUCCCAUCUAGGAUAUCAUAUCACAUUGAGAUGUCAAGUUUCCUUUGGCUGUUCUUGGCUGUGGCAGUUUCUCAGACUUCUGUAGUUUUUGGUAGACAUCAUUCAAUCUAUUGAUAGUCUGAAAUAGAAGAAGACGAUGGAGAAAGGUUGAAUUCUCCCUCUCUGCAUGACAGUAUGAGCUGGAAAACUGAUCUUUCCCUGCCCUUGGAGCUCCUGGUUCUCAGACCUUCAGACUGGAACUGUCACAGUUCCCAAACUCCAAACUCCAAAAG
rnacentral:lncRNA from 1 species